UUAAUGAUAAGAGUAACAAACAUGCAACUUCCCCAGUUCAACUAGGUGAGAAAUGCAAAGAGCUAAAACAGAUGGACGUUUCAAAAAUCUCUGCAGAAUCAUCUAAGCAUGGCAGAACCUCAGGUACAGCUGAUGACAAUGUUUGUAACAAUGCAUUACCUCAAACAACCUCUGAUGUUGAGUUGUCUGAUAACCAACAAGAAGGAAAAUGGUUAUCGAGGGACACCAAAGCAGUAAAUUCAAAAUCCAAAAAGAAAUCUCAGAGGGCAGAAAACAAAACAGAA
rnacentral:lncRNA from 1 species